rnacentral:rRNA from 1 species
GGUAUCCUGUCUGAAUAUGGGGGGACCAUCCUCCAAGGCUAAAUACUCCUGACUGACCGAUAGUGAACCAGUACCGUGAGGGAAAGGCGAAAAGAACCCCGGCGAGGGGAGUGAAAAAGAACCUGAAACCGUGUACGUACAAGCAGUGGGAGCACCUUCGGGUGUGACUGCGUACCUUUUGUAUAAUGGGUCAGCGACUUAUAUUCUGUAGCAAGGUUAACCGUAUAGGGGAGCCGCAGGGAAACCGAGUCUUAACUGGGCGUUAAGUUGCAGGGUAUAGACCCGAAACCCGGUGAUCUAGCCAUGGGCAGGUUGAAGGUUGGGUAACACUAACUGGAGGACCGAACCGACUAAUGUUGAAAAAUUAGCGGAUGACUUGUGGCUGGGGGUGAAAGGCCAAUCAAACCGGGAGAUAGCUGGUUCUCCCCGAAAGCUAUUUAGGUAGCGCCUCGUGAAUUCAUCUUCGGGGGUAGAGCACUGUUUCGGCUAGGGGGUCAUCCCGACUUACCAACCCGAUGCAAACUACGAAUACCGAAGAAUGUUAUCACGGGAGACACACGGCGGGUGCUAACGUCCGUCGUGAAGAGGGAAACAACCCAGACCGCCAGCUAAGGUCCCAAAGUCAUGGUUAAGUGGGAAACGAUGUGGGAAGGCACAGACAGCCAGGAUGUUGGCUUAGAAGCAGCCAUCAUUUAAAGAAAGCGUAAUAGCUCACUGGUCGAGUCGGCCUGCGCGGAAGAUGUAACGGGGCUAAACCAUGCACCGAAGCUGCGGCAGCGACACUAUGUGUUGUUGGGUAGGGGAGCG